AGUGCGCAUACUGGGCCGUUUCGGGUUGGUUUCCUGGGUUGUCACCGGGCGCCUGAUUUGGCGGCGGACGCCGUGGGAGCGUCAGGCAAGCGUGCGGAAGGGGAGGGAGAGCACUUGGUGGUUGGCUCAAGAGGGUGCGGAUUCAGGAUUCAUCAGAGGAGAGGAAACAGGUAGCUGACAGAACCAGCGAUCUAGAGAGUGCUAUCCGUAGCUUCGUUGAGAACAAAGGCUGUUCAUUGCGGUCAGGACGGCAACAGUGAAGAUUGCCAAAUAUGUGGAAUGGAUGGGACCUUGGUAUGCUGCAAUGGCAGCCAUGGGCAUAACAUUCAAGAUCUCAACAAAGCAUUCCUACCCCAGGUACUUUGGUUCUGUCCAGAAUGUGUGGUCAACAAACUUGGAGUAACCUCUUCAAGAAUAGAUCGUGGGGCAAGAGGAGUUCAGAUGUUUGGCAUCGAUAUCUGUGGGUCUCUUCCUAGGAUCCUGUAACUAUUUGCUGGUGUAAGUUUGUGCUACAUUACCUUGUGAUUCAGUCUACAUCUCCAGCCCACUAUUGACAAAUACUUACGAUUCAUUUUGAACUCCACAACGUACCUUCAUUGCUUGAUAAAAUGAUAAACAUGCCAGCAGUACAAACUAGAAAGUUGGAUGUUGUAUUAACAAGGGAAUAGUCAUAUAACACUGGUGACUUAACCACAUUUAUGUUGCACAAGUCCUUUGAUACCAUAUGUCCUUUCUGUUCUCAUCCCUGUGCUCAUUUUGCAGUGUUCAACUGUAGAUGGGAUGCUACCCAUAAAUACCUCUAGUUGUUUUCUCUCUUACCUGUCCUGGAACUACGGUUGUAAAUUUUGUCCAAUUGUAACUGUCAAAUAAUGCAGACUUGGAGCAUCUAGGAUGCAGAGUCAUACACAAGAUAUUACAAUCAGUAUGAUGUUGUCAAGGUGCUCCGAAUACUUUCCUGUUCAGACGCAUAUACAAAUAUUUGUAGGAGAAUAACGGAGUACUGGAGGCAUCUGCUUGAUAUAUUUCAGAACGAGAAGAUCAAAAAUAGGUACAGAAGCUGGUGCAGGACAUACUACACAAUCCAAUACAGCAGUAUGUCCGAGCACUUCCAUACUCUGCUUUCAUUGCUCGGACAACUUCAAAAGAUGGCACAGACGCAGAGCACCUAGAGGGACGGCGAUUCAUGAUGGCUACUGUAGUUGCUGCCUAAGAGAGCAUGUUAUGUUUGGCCCAAUAAAAACACAUAUUGACUUAAUUACCAUUAAUCAUAAUAACAUAUUGGGUCUCCGUGGGCAUUAAUCCACUUUGAUGUCUUAUUGCUACCAGAUCAAAUAUAUCUCACUCAUUAAAUCUUGAUUGUUAGAUUUCAAAUUCAACGGCUAGAAUAAUUGGGUGUGAUGUGAAUCCACGUGGAGACUUUCCUCA